CAGGGAUUCCCGUCCUCUCGGGUCCCGCUGCCCCGCCCCGACUGCGGACGGAGUGGAUGGGGUGCACCGCCUCAGACCCGCUUCCUGGGGUCGCGAACUUCCCGGGCCCCAAGGUCCCUGCCACCUCUUCCAAAUGCUGGAGGACUACGCACUUCUACAAGUGAGGUGACUUUUGAGGAAUUCAAGAAUGCUGAUCACAGCGGUUCCCCUUGGGUCUUACCUUCGGAGGGUCAAGGGAGGAUGGGUCAUCUGGAACCCACUUACAUCCAGGCCCCUCUGGGAGCCCUGGGGUUUGUGGCCAAAGAGGGUAGGAAGCCACUCCACAGAAAGGGGUUUAAACUUGUCUCUACCCUUUUUGUCGCUCUGACGCGCCCUUACAGCCAAACCUACGUACUCCACCCCAGCUCCUAAGGCACCGGAUAUACACAGUGAUCUAAGGAGAGGGUCGCUUUGGAAAGAAAAGGCAUUGACUGCCCAAGGGCAGGAGGGAGGUCUGAUGCGGUCUCCUUUCCUUUACCUUAUUCUUUGCGCCUGAAGUUUCUACUUUGGAGCUUCAGAAACUAUUUUCCUUCUCCUCUAUCAAUCUAAAGUCUGUUAUAUAGGAGCAGUGCCCCCAAGUCCACCUCAGCACCGCCACCGUCAUCACAAGCACAGCCAUCAGGAUUGGGCACAACCUGCCCUAAUUUGGAUCGCCGUUUAUUUUUACUGUUGUUUUGGCAGGGUGGGGAUUGCUUUACAUUCGCUGGAGAUGAAUUAUAAUUCUCCCCUCCAACCAGGGUGGGCUUCAUGGGUGUGCGACUAUGCAGUUGUAUAGGCCACAGCUCAUAAGACCCGUGUUUGGUUUAAUAUUCUGGGACAAUAGUCUACUGUCGCUGUUUUGUUCUUCUUCAUAAUUUUUAAUCAAGGAGUCUCACAUUUGUAUUUUGCAAUGGGCCACGCAGAUAAUGUAGUCAGCUUUGCCUCUCUCUUCGCCACUUCCCUAGACUUUCCCCUUCCUCUGCAAUGUUCAUCUAUAAUUGUUCAUCAGACCAGGCUAAAUAAGGAUAAUGGCACAAAAGAAAAAUAAGACCCAAAUGGAGACAUCAACCACAGACACCUGGCAAAAAAUCUUCUGCUAAAACCUGAUUUUGUGACAAAAUGCUGCCUUAUCUUGCUGAUGAUUUCAUGGACAAUAAAAGGAAAGAAGAUGAAGAAGAACAUUCUAAGGUCCCUAACCUUUGCACUUUGCUGCUCCGAUUGAAUGUCAAAGUCGACAAGUGUCAAUAAUGGAAUUUGAAUGCUUGUUGGUUUGUCUGUGCAACAGCAGUUCUAUCAAUGCUCAGAACGUCUUGGUCUUCCUUUAUUUUUUCUUUCAAUACAUGUUCAUCUAGAUUUGACCUUCCAAAUUGGACUUUUAAAAAAUCACUUAUUUGGCCAGGCGCAAUGGCUCACACCUGUAAUCCAAGC
rnacentral:lncRNA from 1 species